rnacentral:rRNA from 1 species
GAUUAACGCUGGCGGCGUGCAUAACACAUGCAAGUCGAACGAUGAAACUUUAAUGAACCCUUCGGGGAGAAUUAAAGCGGAUUAGUGGCGAACGGGUGAGUAACGCGUGAGUAACCUGCCUUACACAAGGGGAUAGCCUUUGGAAACGAAGAAUAAUACCCUAUCAAACCAUAAAAGCACAUGCAAUUAUGGUCAAAGUGAUAGCGGUGUAAGAUGGACUUGCGUCUGAUUAGCUAGUUGGUGAGAUAAAAGCCCACCAAGGCAACGAUCAGUAGCCGGCUUGAGAGAGUGUACGGCCACAUUGGGACUGAGACACGGCCCAGACUCCUACGGGAGGCAGCAGUGGGGAAUUUUGCACAAUGGGGGAAACCCUGAUGCAGCGACGCCGCGUGAUUUAGAAGGCCUUCGGGUUGUAAAAAUCUUUUGUAUAGGAAGAAAAUGACAGUACUAUACGAAUAAGGUCCGGCUAAUUACGUG